GCCAGGAGAUGGAGGGACGUAAACUUCAGGUAUCCGUCUGCCAAAAGGGAGAGGGAAGCAGCGGCCACGUUUGUAGCCACAGCAAGUACCGAGAGACCUCCCAGACAACAGCAACUGGCAGCCACUGGUGUCCCCCAACAUUGGCAGGGCUGAGGCUGCACUGUUGGGGCACAAGCACUCCGGGGCUCUGCUGAGCCAAGUGUGCGACAAGGAUGGCCGCCAGUCCAACCCCCACCUCGAAGCAGAACUGACAUCUGCAAGGCAGCGGAGGAGCCGCAUGGAACACCAGGCCUCCUCUCCUUGAACAGUAAGAGUUUAUGUGUUGUGGCGCAUCAGGAAUCAGCACGUAAACGCUUACCGUUCCGGGAGGCGGGAGAGAUCGGCACCACUGACAGAGCGCUUCAGAACCACAGCGGCCUUAACUUUACUAAUUGAUUAUUUACUGAUGACAUUCCCAGUGUUGGGUAGAACAUGUGGGUGACUCAGUUUAGCUCAUUUCUCAUCUCAUCUGCUACGCUUCUGCAGCCAAACAAAAUGGAGGGAGGCAAAGACUCCUCACCCACUGGAAUGCACGUUAAAAAAUCAACUCUCAGUAUCAUGCAUACCAAAGGUCUGAUGGUGGCAUAGGUCUGUGCUGGACCCCCGGUGGAGAAAUCCUAACCUGUUGGGUAGUACGUACCAACACCACAAGACAAUUCAUGGGGCAAAGUAAAAAAAAAAAAAUCCAUUGGGCCAUGGAGGAGGUCAGUAACAAUGCUGGCUGUUGUAAUUUAGGUAUGAAAACAAAUCACAGCACUGGAAGAGGGGAAACAAGAUGGUGAAUGGAUCUUUAUGUGCUGGGAUUGCCAUGUCUAUACGCAGGGCUCAUCAGCUGUGAACUUCACACUAACGCUGAUCCUGUUGAGUCUGUCUUUCAACCCAUUUAUCUAUCUAGGAGAGGGGCCAAACCUGAAUGGUGUGCCAGUCCACUUGGGGACUCACUCACACACACACACACCCAUACCAGCCAUAUUAGACUGACUAAUGAAGUUAUCCUGCAUGUCAGGGGUAUGUAGGUAGACAACCUGUGUGGACACCAGGAGACCAUGCAAAAUGCACACAGCCUGGGCUUACAACUCGGUCCCCAAGAGAAGCAAGUCAACAGAGCCACCCAGUGUGCCAUACUGCAUACCACUCAACACGUUAGAGAGAAGGUGACACAGAUAGAUUUUAAGAAUAGAGACUGUGCCCUGCAGGCAGAGGUACCCUGAACAUUCAUGGCUUCAGAGCAACAGUUCUAUUAAUAUUUCCAUCCAUGUACUUUAUGAACCAUUCUGAUCAAUUAAAGGGUAACUGUGUGCACUGGAGCCAACUGUGACUGGGAUGCCAGGGCAUAUUCACACACACAUACACACACACAACAAGCUUGUUCAUACAUUCGCUCACACACGCUCCCAACAAGUCCAUUUUUAGUCAUCCAACAGGGUAAAGAACCACAUAAAAAACAUGAAACAUUUAAGAAAUGGAGCAGCGUGCCAUGAUUGUACAGGGACAGGGUCAUGUACCGAGUCCUCAGCUUUUUAGAACCGCACACUGUAUUUAACUUCAUAUUUAAAAGGUAUUGACUCCGUCAGAAGGUUGCUCGAUGUGUAGAUGGACUUGUGUGUUGUGAAUGUCGUUUGUUUCUAUAAAAUGGUUCUACCAAUAAACCUUGGCACAACUGAA